rnacentral:rRNA from 1 species
AAGCCCCGGCUAACUACGUGCCAGCAGCCGCGGUAACACGUAGGGGGCAAGCGUUGUCCGGAUUUAUUGGGCGUAAAGAGCUCGUAGGUGGCUGAGUAAGUCGGAUGUUAAAUCCCCAGGCUCAACCUGGGACACCACCCGAUACUGCUCUGGCUAGAGUCCGGUAGGGGAGCGUGGAAUUCCUGGUGUAGCGGUGAAAUGCGCAGAUAUCAGGAGGAACACCAGCGGCGAAGGCGGCGCUCUGGGCCGGUACUGACACUGAGGAGCGAAAGCGUGGGUAGCAAACAGGAUUAGAUACCCUGGUAGUCCACGCCGUAAACGUUGGGCACUAGGUGUGGGGUCUAUUCAACGGACUCCGUGCCGUAGCUAACGCAUUAAGUGCCCCGCCUGGGGAGUACGGCCGCAAGGCUAAAACUCAAAGGAAUUGACGGG